CGAUCUGGCGCUGGUGCAUCUCCUUAUCUGCGGCGAUGUGGGAUCGGCCCGGUGGCUCGUUCCUUACCGGUGCUUUGUGCUUGGUGGCCAGUUUUCUGCCCUCGCCAGCGUUAUAUUGUCAGGGAUCGGGCGCUAGUAGUGCUUAUUUCCUAGUGGAUAAACUGAGGGAUCUUCACACCUCACGCUAUCGCAUGGGCCUAGGUCGGAAUAGCUAGUUGGUGGAGUAAAGGCCUACCAGGGCUUCGAUCCAUAACUGACGACCUUCUCGCUGCAGUCACGCUGGAACUGACACACGGUUCAGACUCCUACGGAAGGGACCAGUGCCUGAUAUUGGACAAUGGGCAAAAGCCUGAUCCACCCAUGCCGCGUGUGUGAAGCAGGUCUUCGGAUUGUCAAGCACUUUAAGUUGCCAAGAAGGGCACUAAGUUAAUACCUUGCUGUUUUGACGAUUACCAACAUAGUAAGCACCGGCUAGCUUCGUGCCAGCAGCCGCGAUAAUACGAAGCGGUGCAAGCGUUAAUCGGAAUUACUGACCGUAAAGCUCGCGUACGUGGAUUCAACAAGUUGGAUGUGAACUCCCCGGGCUCAGCCUGCCAACUGCAUCCAAGCUACUGAGCUACAGUACGGGUAGACGGCGAUGGAAUUUCCUGUGUACCCGAGAAAUGCGUAGAUAUAACAAGGAACACCCUGCUUAAGGCGACCACCUGCACUGAUACUGACAUUGACGUGCUGAACCCGGGGGAGCAAAACGAUUACAUACCCUGGUAGUCACACCGUAUACGAUGUCCACUAGCCGUUGGCAUCAUGAAAUCUUACUGACGA
rnacentral:rRNA from 1 species